rnacentral:misc_RNA from 1 species
GGAAGGAUCAUUGUCGUGACCCUGACCAAAACAGACCGCGCACGAGUUAUCUAGCCCGCUGGGCGGCGGCAUCGUCCGUCGCUUGGCCAAAGUCCUCGACAACCUCAUCUUUUCGGAGUUGGGGCUCGGGGUAAAAGAACCCACGGCGCCGAAGGCGUCAAGGAACACUGUGCCUAACGAGGGGAUGUGGCUGGCUUGCUGGCCGCACCCUGAGUUGCAAUUCUAUAUAAUCCACACGACUCUCGGCAACGGAUAUCUCGGCUCUCGCAUCGAUGAAGAACGUAGCGAAAUGCGAUACCUGGUGUGAAUUGCAGAAUCCCGCGAACCAUCGAGUCUUUGAACGCAAGUUGCGCCCGAGGCCUCUUGGCCGAGGGCACGCCUGCCUGGGCGUCACGCCAAACACGCUCCCACCCCACUAACCUGGGGCGGGACGCGGCAUGUGGCUCCUCGUCUCGCAAGGGGCGGUGGGCCGAAGAUCCGGCUGCCGGCGUAUCGUGCCGGACACAGCGCGUGGUAGGCGACCUCGCUUUACUAAACGCAGUGCAUCCGGCGCGUAGCCGACGCGAUGGCCUCAAUGGACCCUUUUAACGGAGUGCAUGACGCUUCGACCGCGACCCCAGGUCAGGCGGGACUACCCGCUGAAUUUAAGCAUAUAAAUAAGCGGAGGAGAAGAAACUUACAAGGAUUCCCCUAGUAACGGCGAGCGAACCGGGAACAGCCCAGCUUGAGAAUCGGGCGGCUGUGCCGUCCGAAUUGUAGUCUGGAGAGGCGUCCUCAGCGACGGACCGAGCCCAAGUCCCCUGGAAAGGGGCGCCUGGGAGGGUGAGAGCCCCGUCCGGCCCGGACCCUGUCGCAUCACGAGGCGCUGUCAACGAGUCGGGUUGUUUGGGAAUGCAGCCCAAAUCGGGCGGUAGACUCCGUCCAAGGCUAAAUACAGGCGAGAGACCGAUAGCGAACAAGUACCGCGAGGGAAAGAUGAAAAGGACUUUGAAAAGAGAGUCAAAGAGUGCUUGAAAUUGCCGGGAGGGAAGCGGAUGGGGGCCGGCGAUGCGCCCCGGCCGUAUGCGGAACGGCUUUUGCUGGUCCGCCGCUCGGCUCGGGGCGUGGACUGUUGUCGGCUGCGCCGGCGGCCAAAGCCCGGGGGCCUUAGGUGCCUCCGGUGGCCGUCGUCGGCACGGCCGGUACUCGCGCGCUGAAAGGCGUGUCCCUCGGGGCACUGCGCUGCAACGGCCUGCGGGCUCCCCAUCCGACCCGUCUUGAAACACGGACCAAGGAGUCUGACAUGCGUGCGAGUCGACGGGUUCUAAAACCUGGGAUGCGCAAGGAAGCUGACGAGCGGGAGGCCCUCACGGGCCGCACCGCUGGCCGACCCUGAUCUUCUGUGAAGGGUUCGAGUUGGAGCACGCCUGUCGGGACCCGAAAGAUGGUGAACUAUGCCUGAGCGGGGCGAAGCCAGAGGAAACUCUGGUGGAGGCUCGAAGCGAUACUGACGUGCAAAUCGUUCGUCUGACUUGGGUAUAGGGGCGAAAGACUAAUCGAACCAUCUAGUAGCUGGUUCCCUC